rnacentral:rRNA from 1 species
AGAGUUUGAUCAUGGCUCAGAUUGAACGCUGGCGGCAUGCUUUACACAUGCAAGUCGAACGGUAACAGGGAGCUUGCUCCGCUGACGAGUGGCGAACGGGUGAGUAAUAUAUCGGAACGUACCCAAGAGUGGGGGAUAACGUAGCGAAAGUUACGCUAAUACCGCAUACGAUCUAAGGAUGAAAGCAGGGGAUCUUCGGACCUUGUGCUCCUGGAGCGGCCGAUAUCUGAUUAGCUAGUUGGUGAGGUAAAGGCUCACCAAGGCGACGAUCAGUAGCUGGUCAGAGAGGACGACCAGCCACACUGGAACUGAGACACGGUCCAGACUCCUACGGGAGGCAGCAGUGGGGAAUUUUGGACAAUGGGCGAAAGCCUGAUCCAGCAAUGCCGCGUGAGUGAAGAAGGCCUUCGGGUUGUAAAGCUCUUUUGUCAGGGAAGAAACGGUGGAGGCUAAUAUCCUUCGCUAAUGACGGUACCUGAAGAAUAAGCACCGGCUAACUACGUGCCAGCAGCCGCGGUAAUACGUAGGGUGCAAGCGUUAAUCGGAAUUACUGGGCGUAAAGCGUGCGCAGGCGGUUUUGUAAGUCUGUCGUGAAAUCCCCGGGCUCAACCUGGGAAUUGCGAUGGAGACUGCAAGGCUAGAAUCUGGCAGAGGGGGGUAGAAUUCCACGUGUAGCAGUGAAAUGCGUAGAGAUGUGGAGGAACACCGAUGGCGAAGGCAGCCCCCUGGGUCAAGAUUGACGCUCAUGCACGAAAGCGUGGGGAGCAAACAGGAUUAGAUACCCUGGUAGUCC